rnacentral:rRNA from 1 species
AUACGGAUGGUGCGAGCGUUAUUCGGAAUCACUGGGCAUAAAGAGCUCGUAGGCGGCUUUUCAAGUCAGUGGUGAAAUCCCCCGGCUCAACCGGGGAACUGCCAUUGAUACUGUAGAGCUCGAGUGUGGGAGGGGCAGACGGAAUUCCAGGUGGAGCGGUGAAAUGCGUAGAUAUCUGGAGGAACGCCAGAGGCGAAAGCGGUCUGCUGGCCCACAACUGACGCUGAGGUGCGAAAGCUAGGGGAGCGAACGGGAUUAGAAACCCCAGUAGUCC